rnacentral:rRNA from 1 species
UACGGGGGGGGCAAGCGUUGUUCGGAAUUACUGGGCGUAAAGGGCUCGUAGGCGGCCAGCUAAGUCGGAUGUGAAAUCCCCAGGCUCAACCUGGGAACUGCAUCCGAUACUGGAUGGCUUGAAUCCGGGAGAGGGAUGCAGAAUUCCAGGUGUAGCGGUGAAAUGCGUAGAUAUCUGGAGGAAUACCGGUGGCGAAGGCGGCAUCCUGGACCGGCAUUGACGCUGAGGAGCGAAAGCCAGGGGAGCAAACGGG